CAGGAACCGAAUGAACCAUUUGUUGAGCAUGAAAGGGAGCAACAACAGCCACCUCCUGAAAAGUACAAAGCACGACUUGUGGCAAAAGGAUUUACACAAAGAGAAGGGAUAGAUUACAAUGAGACAUUUUCCGGUCUCAUGUAAGGAUUCCUUCAGAAUCAUCAUGGCACUAGUUGCACAUUUUGAUUUAAAGUUGCAUCAAAUGGAUGUAAAGACGACAUUUCUAAACGGGGAUUUAGAAGAAAAUGUCUACAUGAAACAACCCAAGGGUUUUAUCAUGGAAGGCAAGGAAGAAAUGGGAUGCCGCCUAAAGAAAUCCAUUUAUGGAUUACAGCAAGCCUCCAGACAGUGGUAUCUAAAGUUUAAUGAAACAAUUAAGAAAUUUGGAUUUAAAGAAAAUAUUGAGGACAAUUGCGUUUAUGCAAAGUUUAAAAGUGGGAAAUAUAUUUUCCUAAUCUUGUAUGUGGAUGAUAUUCUGCUUGCCAGCAGUGAUGUUAGUCUACUGGAAGAGACAAAGAAGUUCUUGUCCUCAAAAUUUUAUAUGAAAGAUCUUGGUGAAGCGUCAUAUGUUUUGGGCAUAGAAAUUCACCGAGAUAGAAACAAUGGAGUAUUAGGACUAUCGCAAAAGGCUUAUUUAGAAAAGAUUCUAAGUAAGUAUAAUAUGCAUAAGUGCAGUGCCACACCUGCCCCUAUAGUCAAGGGGUGACAGUUUUGGGAAACAUCAAAGUCCCCAAAAUCAAUACGAGCUCGAUCAAAUGAAAGCGGUUCCAUAUGCUUCGGCUAUUGGAAGCCUACAGUAUGCACAAGUGUGCACUCGCCCUGACUUAGCAUUUAUCACCGGAGUACUCGGUAGAUAUCAAGAAAAUCCAGGUUUUGAACACUGGAAAAUGGUAAAGAAGGCAUUGCGUUAUGUGAAAGGCACAAAUAAUUACAUGCUAACAUACAGAAGAUCUGAUUCCCUAGAAAUAAAAGGGUAUUCAGAUGCAGAUUUUGCGGGGGAUAAAGAUGAUAGAAAAUCCACAUCUGGAUAGGUAUUCACCCUCGCAGGGGGAGCUAUUUCGUGGAGAAGCUCCAAACAGACCAUAGUUGCAUCAUCCACGAUGUAUGCAGAAUUUAUAGCAUGUUAUGAAGCCACGGGGCAGGCAUUAUGGUUAAAGAAAUUUAUACCCGACUUGAAAGUGGUAGAUUGUAUUGACAAACCACUAAAGAUGUACUGCGACAAUGAGCCUGCAGUAUUUUAUGCUCACAACAACAAGUCGAGUAAUGCUACUAAACCGAUUGAGGUUAAGUAUUAUGUUGUGAAACACAAGGUCCAGGAUCAAACUAUAAGUCUCGAGCAUAUAAGGACAAAAGAUAUGCUUGCGGAUCCGCUAACGAAAGGCUUACCACCCAGCGUGUUCAAGGAGCACGUAGCCGGCAGGGGUUUAAGGGAAAGUCUUACCUAUCCUGGAUCAUAAGAGGCCCAAAAGUAAAAGAAUUUGUUUCAAAACAGAGAAGUGUAUUGUGGCUGUCUGAUUCUAUCGGCAAUAGAGCUGUGACGAUGAAACAUGCCCUAUGGACUGAUCCAAAAUGAAACGAAUAAAGUGAAAGUAUAAAGAUAAAAGAAAAUUUGAGAUCAAGGGGGAGAAUGUUAGGAUUGAUCUCCACCGCACCAAGCCCAACGGCUCUGGCACGACCCCUUGACCUCGUCCGCGCCCUGAUCGGGGGCGCCCAACCGUUCGCUGGUUGGUGGGCCCCUGUCGCCUUCACUAUAUAAAGUGGUGGGGGCCAGUGGCACAGGUUACGAGGUUGCCCGGAGCUGCCACUCGCCCCACCAGACAACCCACCGAUCAGGGUAGUGCAGUGCCGACGGGAAGCACCACCACCACCUCGCCCAACGUACUGCCGUCCUCGCCAUGUCCAGAUCAGCGAGUUCCUCCUCCAAUGGAAAAGGUAAACCCACGGUACAUGUACAUCUCUCUCUCCCUCUCUCAGAACAUGAACACUUUAUGUUACAGAGAUAGAUACUACUCGUUUAGAUCUACACUAGUCGAUCCAUAGAUAUUAACAGAGGGGUCUGGUUCAUGAAUGAUUGAGAUUUAUUUAGUUGUAGACAUGUCGUGAUACAAGCCAAUAUAUGUGUAUUUCUCUUCACAUGGUUUGAGCAUCGGCCAGGAGGGUAGUUUCUUUUUUUUCAUGAAGUGGAUUACCAGAAAUUUGGCUUUUCACACUAUUGUAGUACUUUCUACUGUGACGAGGAGCACUAUCAGGAAUUGGUUGCUUCUUUGAAUCGUUGUUUUUUGUAGUUAAACUAAGCAACUGUAUGUGCAUCAUUCCAUUCCACUUACGGAGCUAGGUUGAUAAUUCGCUUUGAAAGUACUAUAUUAAUUUGGGUAUACUUUCAUACCUCUUUAUCUACCCUCUGGAGCUAGAAACGAUACAAAGUGUUUGCUUCUGAUGCAGUUUGGUUAUUGUAGAAGACUUAACAGCAUGCUGCAUCGGUGAACCACAAAUUAGUUGACAUGCCUUCUGUAAAUUAGUACCAGAAUAGGGCAUGAUGUACAUUUAGGAUAUAUACUAUUUAAAUACUUCAACUAAUUUUCUAGCAAUCAAAUAUGUUUGUUGACAAUAGCAAGGAUUUGGUUAGAAAUACCUUUUGAUAUGCUCAUGUGCUUCGCUAAUGGAUGUCCUCCUUGGUGCCAAGGAAUACACAGCACUAGCAUCAUAUGUUUUGUGCAGGCAUGUUAAACAGAUAAUGCCAUAAAUGAUCAUGGGAGUUCUCCAGACGUUCUGCACCAGCGUAGAGCCACGCCAUCUCCUCCCGACCCACACGUUCUGUUGGCGUUGGCGAGCACUCUGGCAGCAACGGAAUCCUUCAGAUUGCACGCAUGUCGGAGUCUUAAGUUGUUGAUAAUAUAGAGCAUAAAGUUUUUGCAUCAAUUUCGCACUGAGCAUGUCUCUUUUUUAUUGUCUCUUCCCAUGCAAAUGCAUGUCGAGGUGUGAUCUUGGCAAAAAGCAACAAACUCUGGAAUUUAGUAUGUAAUUCAAGUUUGAUAUGUUCUGUUGACCAUCAUAACUUGGUACUCUUCACCAAUAUUAUUUGGCUCUCGGCCAUUUUGUCUCCUAACCUCACAAUAUUGUUUUAAGAAAUUUAUAUUUUGCUUAAGGAUGGCAAUUUUACCUGCGGGUACCGUACCCACAUGGGAGGAUAUGGAUACACUUUUAUGCCCAUGGGUAGUACCUAUACCCUGCCCGCUAAGUCAUGGGUAGGGCAUGGGUAUAGCCUCAUACCCGCGGGCAUACCCAUGCCCUGCCCGUUUAUUAUCAACUUCUUAUGUCACACGUCUAAUUUUAUUGACUUAUGAGUUAAAGUAUGUAUGAGAAUGUGCUUUUUAUAUUUUGUUAAUUUUUAUGUACUCAACUACCUCUUAUUAAGUUGAGAUAAUUCAUCUUUUUAAUCAAAUUUAUUGUCGAGAAAUGUAAAAUUGCGAGUGACUUCUGUACAAUUUGACCUACCCACCGGGUAUCCAAUGGGUACGGGUACCUGCCGGGUAUGGGAAUGGGUAAAGUUUUAUAUCCGUGGGUACGGGUAUGUGUAGAAGUUUGUACCCAUUGACUAUAUGGACAUGGGUAUGGUAUUUCUCUACCCUGCCCAUACCCUACCCAUUGCCAUCCUUAAUUCUGCCAAACAUAGGACUGCUUGGUAGGUUACAUAGAUGGCAAGGGCUCAAGUUCUAUAGGUACAUGAAGUUUUAGUUCUGCCACUUUUUGUUCGGGUAUAUUCUGAAGUGAAUGAUCUGUAGCACCAGCUUUGUGAGGAACUUUACACUCUCACUGGUAUGUAUAAUGUUCGUUUGCUAAUAAGGAUGUACUGGUCCAAAAUAUCUUAUAUUGGCUGUUUGUUUAUUCUACCUGAAACUGAAUAAGCUUGGCUGUUAGCAGCGCCAGUGAAAACCAUUAUGUAAUUUUACAUUCAUGUUCUUUCUUCGUUGUCAUAUAAUAUAGGGUAUGCAGCCUGCCAGAAAUGCAAAUCGGCAUUUAACCAAUGAAAAAUGAAACGUGCCACGUGCUUUUCUUUGUUGUCACCAGUUGCUUCCUUCACAAUCACCAUAUACAUUGGUAGCAUGUUGUCUCUGUUUACAAUCUUUCAAAUUUCUACAUCUGUGCAUUUUGUUCUGUGUUUAGAGCAUCCACUGAUUUCGUCUUUUUGGGGUCCCUGUUUCUGGCUUGGCGGGGAACACUUGGUUUUCUGCUGGAUUUCGUACAAGUUUAUUUUCAACUUCCCAGUCAAAUUGUUUCUUAAUUUGAUAAAAGAGUGACGUAGAUGAGCACUUUCAGGCAGAAAUACCUGAAUGGAAUGGACUACAUCUCUGCCCCUCCUUGAGCAGGGCAGGCUGCAGCAGAACACUAGGUGCCUGUCUUCUGGAAACAACACGGUUACGAGCUGCGGUAGGUCGGGGAGCCAACAAGAGCACAAUGCUUCUUCCUGAUCCAAUUGUGCAGUGGUCAGAUUGACCGUAAUCUCUUAGUUUUGCCGUCUCUUGUGAUCACACAACCCUUGCUCACGUUUAGUUGCCUGUGAGCUGGUACUCGAUCCAGUGACCCUUUGGCUCUCCUGUCUCUGUGGCCUAUGCAUCCCCAGUGCGUUUGGAGGUGUUCUUCUUAUUGCUAUGGAUCUUUCUUUAAGUGUUCGCCUUAUUUUCUCAUUAUCUCUAUUGGAUAUCUAAAUUUAGUCUCAUGUGACAUGUGUUGUUCAGUUUGGUUGUCACCGAAUUUUUGCAUGCUAAUUAUCUACUACUUCCGGUCAAGAUAAAUAAAUGUCAGGUACUUUUAUACUUCUUUGACUAGAUAUAAGAGGACAAUCAAUGCCAUUUAUGGUUUAUGUCCGGUGAUUAGAGCAGUUGAAGAUAUUUUUUCUUAAUAUAAAUUGACAGGAACAUGAUGAUAAUUAGAAUUUAUUAUGAUUUUUUUGUUCUCCAUCUCGCUGAUGCGAAGGUGCUUAGUUUUAUUCAACUAUUUGAACACCGGGUUUAAUUAUGCUAGGAGGCCAUGGUUACGGAUGUGCCUUUCUAAAUGAUAAUUGACUAAUUGACAAGUUCUUUUUUUUGUGGGGGAAUAAACAUGUUCUCUCACAGUUGAUUUGUUCUAAAAUCUGAUGAACCAUUAUGCUACUUCUUAAAAAAAUACACAUGUCACGAGCUUGAUUUUCCCAUAUGAACCUUGUUGCCGGUCAGAACAUUUGAAAAAGUGUUUUUCUUAUUCUUAUGGUGCAAGGUAUUGGUGCCUCUAGACAGGAUGCUCUAUAGUCCCUAGUGCAAAGGUGCUUAGUUUUAGUCAAUUGUGCAGAUUGGAAAAAGGUUGUUUAGUUGUACUUGAUGGCCAUGAGUGCCCAAAAGAUAAUGAUGCGCCUUUACAAAUAAUAUUUGAAACCUUCUGAUGUGUUAUAGAGGGCUGAUGGUUAGGUCAACAAUGUGAUGAACCAUUGUGUUAGUGCUAAAAACUGAUAGUCUGACACUCACAUGUUACAUAUUUGAUUUGGCAUCUCCAUCCUGGGCUUCGCUAUGGUUUCUCUUAACUCUUGAUAUCUCAGCCUGGUACUGGUAAUAGGAUAAUAGUAGGACUGACAAAAAAACAAAUUAAAUGAAGGAAUUAACGGUAUGACACUAAGGUGGCAUAACAGUGAAGAUAAUUGUAACUUAGUAACUACACUCUAUCCUGAUAGAGUGAUAGGUAACGGCUUACGAAUCUAUGUUUUUGGUUGUGUCACCGUUGAUUGAUUGAAUUUUAUUUAUAUACAAUAUGAUCAUAGGUACUGCCCCACCGAAAUUGGUACCAUGGAUUUUGUUACCAUGUUUAUCCUGUAAUCAAGCAGUUGUAGAUUGUGUUCGUUGUAUAUUUUUUAAGGUGGAUUGCUAAUCUAUUCCAUAUAAUUUUCACUGGAAGGGAUACAAAUUAUUCUGCUGUGUACGGGAUCGUUUAGACUACACCAUUUUUCCAUCUUUCAGAGACAUGAUACCAUUAAGGAAUCUGGGAAACUUUGCUCUGCGCAGUAGAACCCCCAUGAGAUGUAUGUGUGGCCCUCAUUUCUUUUUUGGUAAUUCAGUGUCAACUAUUUUAUUUUAGCUUUUGAACAUAUUAAAUGUCAUCCGAUAAACACAUAGUUAGAAGAGUCCUUAGACAUGCCAGUUAUGCAGAAUGUGAACAGCAGGCAAUCUUCUAUGUAUUUGCACCACCCCCUUGCACUAGAAAAAUGAACUGUACAAGAACAUUGCAAUUUCAUUAUCGCUAUUGUAUUAAGAGCAAUCAAGUAGAAGAUUUUUCUUUAUGCCAUAGACCAGGGGUAAGUAGUCUACAGUCCCCUUGAUAUCAAAGUACUGAGAACAUAUACAUUCAAGACGGUUCCGCGAUAACUGUACAAUUUCACUUACAUUCUUUCAUAUUGUUUUAGCCUCCUACACUGUGUAUUACGAAACACUAGCAAGAUAAAGAAAGUUAGAUAUGUAGGCUGAUGUUUCUAUUUGCAUAGCUGCCAAAGUACCAAGAGAUGGCUACUAUACAUAUCUUCUGAAGCUAGCUGCUAAAGUACCACCAGAUUGUCGUUGAGCAUGUUUUUGUGUGGAUAACUAGAAGUCACGGUUGGCUGUGAUAUUGCUUCUUGUGUUUUGAUUGUUUAGUUGGUUUGAGGUGCUGCUAACUUUGUUGCCUGAUGAUGGGACAAAUGAACCUUUGUUCAGUUGUGUUGAUAAUGGAGCAUAGAGCAAUGCUUCAUAUGGGAAAAAGAUAUGUAUCCUUCGUGUUCUUUGUUGACCGAAGAAGAUAUUCCUGAUGAAGGAUAUGACUGGAGAUUCUUGACGGGGUUAAAGAGCACAUGGUUGAUGAAUCGGAGCAAGUUUGCAGCUAGGGUAUGGACGUACAUGCGAUGAAUAGUUACGAUUAGAUGUUUAUUUAGGGAAAAUUGGGCAAAAUGUUAGAAUGAGCUGGCAAUAGUGCAGAGAAGAGGUAGACACGUUUUGUGUUAAAACUGGACAUGUUCUCUGUACUGUUUUAUUGUAUAUAUAUCUCAAGCGUGAAAUAAUUCUUUUUCAAAAUAGAGGAAAUACAUUUUAGACAACA